UACGUAGGCAGCAAGCGUUGUUCGGAGUUACUGGGCGUAAAGAGUGCGUAGGCGGUCCUGUAAGUUUGGUGUGAAAUCUCCCGGCUCAACUGGGAGGGUGCGCCGAAGACUGCAGGGCUUGAGUAUGGGAGAGGUAAGCGGAAUUCCUGGUGUAGCGGUGAAAUGCGUAGAUAUCAGGAGGAAGACCAGUGGCGAAGGCGGGUCUCUGGACAGUUCCUGACGCUGAGGCACGAAGGCCAGGGGAGCAAACGGG
rnacentral:rRNA from 1 species